AAGAUACCAUUGUGGGUGAUGAAAUGCAGAGAGGUGUAUCUGGUGGCCAAAAGAAGUGUGUAACCACAGUCAGGACACUGCAUUUUGAUACCUGUGGAACUGGAAAGAGUACUUGGAUAAGGCAGUUCACAUUAUCCUGACAACUGAUAAUGAUCCACUAGGUCAAGCUUUAGCGGAAGAGCUGGCACGGCGCCUUGGGCGAGAAAGAUUGUAUAUCCUGUCAUUUAUUUUCCAUGUUAAACAGUCUGUAAGUACCAAAUAUAUCCUAUCAAUAAUCAAGGUUCAAGACACAUAUUCAUGGUACCUCAACUACUUAAUGUAUUAUUAGGUUUAUGCAUGCAAAGGUGUCCAUAUCUAACUAAUAAAUCAAAAUGUGAACCAAAUUUGGCACUCUAAUAAUGGUUCAGAAAGUUUAUUGGAUCUAAGGGAUCUAAGGAUAGGUUAUGCAUUCUUUUCUUU